AAUCUGGAAUUACAUAACUACGUACGCUUUCUUUUUACAUCUACUGGGACACUGUACAUGCUAGAGCAGUGCAUUCUGCUAUUUUGAUUUUUAGUGAGCUCGCGUGCAGCUUGAUCGACAAAGGAUCGACUAAAAAAAUGCGGGAUUUACAAUACAUAAGAUUCACCAAUAAGCAGAGUUAGAAGCCAAGGCCCGCAUAUUGGACCACUCACCAGCCCGUUACGCUUCCUCCUUAUUCGCCUUUAAAAUACUAAGUAAACACAAGUAACAUACGUUUCCUCCAUGCUCGCUAAAUUGGUAGCAAUAAAAAAAUAGCGAGCACGCUCGGAUGAGAUAAGAAGACAUAGCAAAGCUUAAAACAUUAGUAAAUAGUACGUGCAUUCUUUAUGGCAAAACGUUUUAACAUUUUCUGAUAUUAAUAUUAAACAAGAAGAAAAAGAAUAGAGUAAAAGUUAAAUGUAGGGUGCAACGUUCCGUAGAAGAGGACUACGUGAAA